GUUCUAGCCAUGGACAAACAGGAGUUCCCAGGCACUGCUCAGGAUUCUCGGCUCCUUUAUUAAACUGGGCCCCCCGUGGGUGUCCUGGGUGACCCGCUGUCUCCUUCCGAGUCCGCUCCCCGAGAAGCACCUGUUCAUCCCAGAGCGGGGCAGAGCUGCCAGCCCUCCCUCCCCCAAGUUUCCUGAAAGGCGGCGUUCCAACACUCAUGGAUUUUCAAGUCAAAGUGGGGGGAAAGGUCUGAAAACUUUACCCAAGUGGUGUAUCUUUCUUUGUUGUUUUCACCUUGCUGGCUGGGGUCACGCAGCAUGCAGCGACUCUACGUGCCCACUAGAGGUCGGGCUACAAAGGGACCCAGUCACAGCGACCCCGGACUGGAGGGGAGCACACUCCCCAGGGCCACCAAUGCAGCCUCCUGCCGCGGCGAAGGGCGAGCACGGUGCCUUCAGGGAUGGGGGUGAUGCGACGCCCCGGAUGGGGGAGGGGACCUAGCCCCAACCCUUCUCAGGGCUCCAGGCCCAGCUGGAUGGGAACAUGAGACAUGCUCAGCUUUCCCAUUGCUACUGGCAGAUAUGUGGGCGUCCACGGAAAGCGUCUGGGGAGGCCGCGCUGAGGCU